UACGUAGGGGGCUAGCGUUGUCCGGAAUCAUUGGGCGUAAAGAGCGCGUAGGCGGCCCGGUAAGUCCGCUGUAAAAGUCAAAGGCUCAACCUUUGAAGGUCAGUGGAUACUGCCGGGCUAGAGUCCGGAAGAGGCGAGUGGAACUCCUGGUGUAGCGGUGGAAUGCGCAGAUAUCGAGAGGAACACCUGCGGCGAAGGCGGGUUGCUGGGCUGACACUGACGCUGAUGCGCGAAAGCCAGGGGAGCGAACGGG
rnacentral:rRNA from 1 species